CUCUAGCAGACGCGACUCAUUUCACGGUGAUUCGGAUAACUUCGGCUUUUCACUUUGCUAUUGCUUUGCUAUGGGCUUGGACGGUACUCUAGUCUAUCUUUCUAUUCUAUCGUAUUAUGUCGUGCGACGGUUGGCAUGAAGAUAAAAGAAGGAUCUUUUGGGCGAGGUUGAGGGUAGGAUUUGUCUGUGUGAAAUCGAUAUCUUUUUCUUAUCACGCCAGUGACAAUGGAAACAAAUUAUUGUGAUACCAGUGACAAAUUUUUUAGGCAAAAUGGCCGACGUGGAAAAAUAUCGUAUGGAAAUACGAUUUCACCAUUCGGUUAAAUAUUUCUACUUACCGACCGAGUUACUAGCGUCUGGGUUCGUCAACGGCGUGAUCGCAGCCGCUCAAUGCGAUUCGAUGUCUCUCAAGGAUUAAAUCAAUGACCGCCUGUCGAAAUAUAAAGAGAAUUGGAACGUUCAAGCUGCUACGUGAUUGCAAAGUCUCGUUAAGCUUUUGUACGCUGAACGAAGGGACGCAGACGACGCAGAUUGAACUGGGAAUUGAGACGCUGGAGCAAUGCACGGCCCUUAAUUAGGGGUGCUGAAGGAAAUAACCUAACUACAGAUACCCAAUAGAAGCAUGAAAAACAGUGUAAAUGUAUUCUCUAUCAUACGCCUAUGUCCCAUGGAGGAGCAGAACACAGAUUGAAGGUCCCUUCGCUCUGCAGCUUCCUUCUCAAUGGGCGACAAGGUAGAAGACCCAAGAGGCUUGCGAUGAGUGCCCUUACGACGUCAGGCAGCGUCGCGACGGAUCCUCGUGGUGUAAUGAGAGGGAUGGAGGGUCUCCUGGAAUUUUGUGGAAAACGCGCAGCCGUUUACACAUAUCUACAAAAAGCCCACCAACGAACCAGCCAAGGAGCGUACAAGGGGUUAAUAAACCAAGUACGGUUGGUACACGUAGCGACAUCAGUUCUUCGUCCAGGGGCCAAUGGCUGCACUACUCGCAAUAUAAAAGAGUCCCCUGAUUGUACAACUGAUGUCGAUCUUAUGACUUGAGCCAGCGGCAACUUCAGCCUCCUUCCAUGUCUACGUCGAGACGUCCUGAUCUCUGCAGAUUCACCCUCCGAGGGCGGAGAUAAAAAAAGGACCAGUGGACAAGGACAGUAGGUGGCUCCUGGUUUGUCCUCCUUGGGUCGUCGUUGUUCCCUUACCAUGUCAGAGGGGAAGUUUUUUUUUUCUUCCUGAGCUUUCUUCAUUCGCUAGUCGGUUUUUCCUUUAUUGUAUUUUCAUUCUUCGUAGAUGGACGAUCACUCGGUCUCUUUAACUUCUAUACAAGGGAUAAACUCCAGGCAGUGUAGAAUCUCGAGGGUGGCUACCCUGAGAAUUUUACGGUAAAUGGUGGGAAAUUUAGUGAGAGCGCCAUCUACGUUCCCUAGACCUACGUGUAUGAAGUGGUUUGACGUUUUUGACCCAGUUCCAAAAGGGAUGGUUACGCAUUGACGAAUUUAUAGGAAAAUGAAUUUUAUCAAAAAUUCAAGAUAUGUGCUCCAAAUUGUAUUUCUGAUACGAACCAAUUGGUUUGACCUGUAUAUGAUAAGAGGUGGAACGUUGGAUUGAAAUGGGAAGGUGAUAAGAUCGAAUUGAAUAGUAUCGAUUGGCUGAGGUAUCGAUUUUAUCAUACGUCCCUAAGACUGCUGCUGCUGUACCUGGCCGUUUCAAAAUUUCCAUCUGGUCGCACAUGGAAACGCUCUGUUUGCCUUGUGCUCCCUGGUGUCCAGUGUGUGUUCCGACAUUCUACAAAUUGUAGGUUGGAUCAAUGGCUAGAGAGGUUAGGUACCUGCAGACCACAUAUGAUAUCAGGUCAUACUAGACCACACAUAGCAUACAUUCUAGGGAAAGAUUCGAAACGUUAUAAAUAAUUCAAGUGGACUUGGUAAAAUUUGAAAAUUAAAAUUAUGGUUACGCUUGGUAGUUUCGAUGAGAAAUUUUGAAAAAUUCAAGUACCAUACUUUUUCAUAUAUUUUUUUUCCUUUUCUCUACCUCAAUCGAUAUCACGAGAUCCCCCGUAUACAUGUGUAUUCGCAUAAGGAUCCUGGGUCCUUGACUACGCGUGGCCGACAAUGACUUUCUUUGCACAGUGGGUGCCACUCGACGCGUCACCAAGCACCCUCUAACUCUGAUAACCCUUAUCAUGCCUGCUACCUACUUCAAGCUGCUGCACCCUCUUGCAGCCCUAUUGCCUUAUCCUCUUCCAUCCCUCUGUCAUGACGAUUCUUUCCUGCUACUUCCCUAUGCCUUCACCUCAAAUACCCUAGACUCGAUGUCAAUGGGCCCUAGGGAAUUCACUGCGUUAAGUGAUCACGCAUGGUUGCAGGCAGUUGCGUAAUUUCUGGGGAAUUCUGAGGGAGAUUUUUGUUUUAUAUUUUUAGGAGGCGAAGAGUUGCUUGGUAUGAUAAUUUAUUUUGGGUACUCGGUCUAGGGAUAUUUAGGAAAUUUUUAGGACGCCCUCACUGUUUUAGAGUCUGGUAAGUUCCGUUGAAAUCCGCUAGGAUGCCCUGAAAUACCAUAAGUAAACAUGCAUUCAAUUAUUCAUUCUCAUUUCUGUUAUAUAUACAUAUAUUUUUUAUUACACGUUAAAGACGUCAGAGAGGUUAGGAAGUUGAAUUUCUGGGGAAACUUUUUAUUCCUCCCUGUAAAGAAUGUACGUCGAGUGACACUUGCCUUGAUACGUAAAGUAUCCAAUUUUUUUUUUUUCAAGUGAGGACUCAAAUUCUCAAUAAACUCUCGAGGGUAAUUUUGUUUCUUCGUAGUUCUGGAGUCAAUCCGACGGAUCGAAAUAAAUUUUUUAUACGAAAUUGAAUAAUAUAUCCUCGAACGAGAUAGCGUUUACGUGAUUUUUCGAAUAAAAUUUCUAAUCGGAAUUCAGGGUCUGAUUUUUACUUGGUUCGUACCUGAGAUACGGACAAACCAUUUCGGGAUAACAAAAUGUCUCGUUCGUGGCGUCAUGGCGAUAACAAAAAAAAAAGGUCAGGAACGAAGUUAACCAUCUAAUGAGGCGACAAAAAACCCAAAUGAAACGUAAAUACAGAACGGUCCGGUAAUUGCCUCGUCGUUGUUUCAGCCGUCAGACUUUUUACGAGCAAAAGGGGUUUACAUAUAGUCGACUGGCCACAGAAUCCCGCGGGGUUCUUGACCCAAAUUUCUUCCAUAUUUUUUUAUCCCUUCACUUUUUAUCUUACCUUCUUUAUUGCGAUUCCUCGUGUAUUACGACCUGGCAUGCACCAGGGUUACCUUGCGAUUUAUUUCGUUGCUACCCCGUUGACGCGACUCAUCCUAACCUACCCCAACGUUACUAUAGUAAAAUUUUCUUAUCCUCCCCUCCACCCCCUGUCGACCUUAAAAAUUAACAAGAGUCAAAAAUAAAUAUUCAAAAAAUUAUUUUCCUUUGAAAUAUUAACAAAAACAAAUUAACAAUUAACAAAAACUAUAUAAUUUCUCAUUUUAUCAUUUAUCCCUCCAUCAACCAUCCCCUAAGCUUUUGAGACCUCAAAAGGGUAAAAUUACUUUUUGGGGUCAUGACGUGACAUUCAAGUUCGAGGAAUGUAUUAAUUGUAUAAUCCAAUGAACUAAGGGUAGGUACUUUAUCCACCCAGACCAGGGUUGAUCUCUUUCAGAAUAUCAUCUGAUCAUCCCACAGCGUCUCCACCCCUGUCUCCUUCCUUCACAAUAUGUUGAUCGAUCGAUCACCCAUGACUGUGCCUACUCGUUAAAAUAAGAAAGUGCCAGUUGCCAUUUGCAAAAAAAAAAUAAAAAAUUUCAGCAAGCCGAAUCUGCCUAAAAUACCAAGGCAAACGCCCUUUCCAUCCCCUUUGCUCUUUUAACAGCAAGUAAAAAAAAAUUCGAAUAAAAUCAACCUUUUUUUUAUAUUCCUUAAAACUUUUUUUUCCUUCCUUUCACCUUCAACGCUUCUGAAUCGAGAAUACAGGCAACUUUGACGUCUACAGAUCCAGAGCAUCUUGUAUCCUUAACACUAACGUCCAUCUGACGAUAUCAAUCGUAAGGAAUAAUAAUUUUUAAAAAUGCAAAUGCGAAAAAAAUUUGUAAAAAUGUUCCCAAUUUUUUUCAUCCGACAUACGCCAUUUUACCCACCAGCCAAAAUCGGUUUAUCCACAUUCAAAUAUUCAUUCCAAACAUCUCCGGAGUUUUUGCGAAUAAAAUAGCAAUCCUGUAUAAAAUACAGCAAACAGACAUAUUUAUUUCGACUAAGGGAUGAAAUUCUUCAAUAACGCCAUUACACAAGUCUAAGACGCGUAAGUGACGUAACAUACUGGUUAAAUUGAAAGGAAGUGUCGAAGGAGGGGAAAGUGGGUUAGGGGGGUCCUGCACAUACCUGAUAAUUCAGUGCUUGCGCCCUUUUGUCAGUAAAAUUAGUUUAUAAAUUGAAUAGUGUCGAAGCACCCCCCCCCCUCCCUCCCAGUAUCUUCAGCAAUAGUGCUGGCAAGCCAAAGCCGAAGGGGUAGUGGGGUAAGUAAAAGGGGGGGGGGGCUCGUACACUUCCGGUACACGCUAUAAGCUACCUACAGUGAACGCCAAAGGAUUCCUUUAUAUCCCAUCCAAUUAAUUAUGUACUAACUUCACUCCGCUCGAACCAAAGACGCAAACUUCAGGAUGAAAGCGAAACACCUUGUCGCUCGAAGAAAAUACGGUUCACCCAUAAAACUGAUAAACCGACAACCAAUCUCGUAGCUUUCAUAUAUUUAGGAAUAUUGGAAUUCGACGGGCGUAAAAGAAAAAAUUGUUAAAUAAAAAAUCCCAUAAUUUUUUUAAAAGCCAGUGUAACCCUGAAAUAUUAUGGCGGCGUUGCAAGCCACGUGUAAACAUUGUCCGAGCUUAUCCUAAUUAGAGGUUAGGGGCUGCGCGUAGCCAGACACCAAAUCGUAACGGGGAUAACAUUAACAGGAGUCGUAUGAAUUAAACAUGAGCCUUGUAGGACGCGUAUAAGACGAAGAGUGUGGGUUUGGAAACCGUAACAUUCGCAUGAGUUACUCUCGAGCCGUUGAAUAUGUGUCUGGGUUAGGUUAGGUUAGGUUACACUGCCCCAGAGCUCCGAGGUACGAUAAAGGCCUUAACACAGGCAUUACGGUAUAAUUGCAAUAAAUUGUCGAGACGGUCGUUGUGCGAGAAUUUUGAAUUUGAAAUCUCGGUUAAGAGCGAGUGCGACGUGAAUUUAGUCAAAGAGGCUUUUAUUGCCGGUUGAAUUACUGUGCGAGGUGUAGGAACAGCUAUUGCGUGAUUAUUUACUAUUGUGACUGUACACUGGCGACUGGUGGCUGAUGGGUAACGGGACCGAAGUUUCCGUUAAAAGCAAUCGAUUCGAUUUUAGGAAAAUGCAUUUCGAAUCGAUAUAUUUUUCAAAUGAUUUUGGUUUGGUAAUGGGGGGAUGGGGAAAAUGAGAUAGUCGAUGGUGGGGAGUAAGCAGAUUUUUAACCCUUCUGGGAAAUUGCGUUAUCGUCGGUAAAAUGGCGGUGGCUGCUUUGCGUACUGCAAAGGCGGAAAGUUUCACAGGCGCUCUUUAACUUUUAUUCCAUUGAUCUUUUGGAAUUACUUGAACCACUGGUUGAAAAUUUGAAAAGAGUCAAACCCUUGAGAAAUUUAAUAUGGCCGAUGGGUUAGGGUAGGCUUGUACUUUGCUCGAGAUGACUGUACCAGAUGGGGAUUCACUUGGUGAAGUGUAGUAAAAGAGCUCAUUAAGAUUGUUGAGUUUUUACCACUUGACAGGCAGUACAUACACUUCAGGUGGUGUAUAUGAAUAUUUUAGUAAGGGGUGUUCACAACGUGAACCAAAUUGAUUAAUCGAUCGGGGAAUAUCGAUAUUUUUAAUUUUCAGAUUUUUGAAAUUUUUUAUUUAUUUUUCUUUUACAUAAUUAUUUUGCUCAUUAUUUCUCUAUUUAUAGGAUUGGUAUUGUAUACACUUAUGGGGUUAAUAUUGUACGUUUUUGUAGGGUCGAUACUGUAUAUGUUGAUGGGGUUUAUACUUGCACGUGUCAUUAACGUAACCAUAAAUACAAAUGGGCGAUGGGCAAUGGGCAAUGGGUUUUGGGUCCUUCGACUAUCGUUAUGGUUCAGACCGAAAAAGAUUUACGUUCAAUAACAACGUUGAAUGCCGACGCCAUAUGUCCGUGGAAAUAGGCCGGGGCGGCAUGAAAUUGCGUGGAAAGUCAGCUCCGGGGAUUUAGCCGCACAUGACGUUUACAUUCAACCAGAACUUUGUCUCUUUUCUUUUUCUUUGUGUUGCGAAACGUUACGCACUGGCCGAUACUCUGGCUGGAUUUGAAUGCACAAACGUUAUAAGUCUUUUGCAGGGUGUUGGAAUAAAAAUCGAUGAAACUUUCAUCUAGGAAGACGGCAGACGAUGUAAUCUUAUACUGGGUGAUCUGAAAGAAAUAUAAAAAGUGGACAAGACUGCGGUAGAGUCAACGAUCAUUGGAAAUGAUGAAAUCAAGACACUCAAUAUCCAGUUAUAGAAAGUGAGCAAACUGUACGAACAAACACGACAAGAAGGAGAAAGGAAGCGGCAAACUUCAGGGGAUUUCAUGACUAAGGAACAUGGAACAGGAACUAGGAACUUCUGCCGGAAGAGACACUGUGCAAUUAAUCGUCCAGGCAGUUCCUGUAGAAGAUGUCUAAAGAACCGUCCGCUGUAGUAAUACUCUAAAGGAGUAAAUAAUCCUCGGAUUUAUUAAAACAUUCUUUGCCUCUUUUAAAAAUUCAUCGACUUCAUUUUCUCAUUUGCCAGCCAGAUCGUAAAUGCAAAGAGAAACUUUUUUUUUCUAAAUUAUCACAUGUGGCAAAUCAAUUG